rnacentral:misc_RNA from 1 species
UCCGGUUUGUCACCGGCAGUCCCAUUAGAGUGCUCAACUGAAUGUAGCAACUAAUGGCAAGGGUUGCGCUCGUUGCGGGACUUAACCCAACAGCUCACGACACGAGCUGACGACAGCCAUGCAACACCUGUGUAGGGCCCUUGCGGACACCACAUCUCUGCGGCUUUUCCCUACAUGCCAAGCCCAGGUAAGGUUCUUCGCGUUGCGUCGAAUUAAACCACAUGCUCCGCUGCUUGUGCAGGCCCCCGUCAAUUCCUUUGAGUUUCGGUCUUGCGACCGUACUCCCCAGGCGGAGUGUUUCACGCGUUAGCUGGGCCCCUGAUCCACGUAGACCAAGGGCGAACACUCAUCGUUUACGGCAUGGACUAC